GGGUCAGUAGGUUGGUCGUGCCACCGGUACGUACUGGUCUCACUGAUUCCUCCUUCCUGAAGAACCGUAAUGCCAUUAAUCUGGUGUUGCGGGGAAACAGGACUGAUACUUUGAAAAAAUUAGAGUGUUUAAAGCAAGCUAACGCUUGAAUACAUUAGCAUGGAAUAAUGAAAUAGGGCGAUCGAUCCUAUUUUGUUGGUUUCUAGGAUUGACGUA
rnacentral:rRNA from 1 species